rnacentral:rRNA from 1 species
UACGGAGGGGGCAAGCGUUGUUCGGAAUUACUGGGCGUAAAGCGUGCGCAGGCGGUUUUGUAAGUCUGACGUGAAAUCCCCGGGCUCAACCUGGGAAUUGCGUUGGAGACUGCAAGGCUAGAAUCUGGCAGAGGGGGGUAGAAUUCCACGUGUAGCAGUGAAAUGCGUAGAGAUGUGGAGGAACACCGAUGGCGAAGGCAGCCCCCUGGGUCAAGAUUGACGCUCAUGCACGAAAGCGUGGGGAGCAAACAGG